rnacentral:tRNA from 2 species
GCGUGGAUGCUCCAUCUGCUUUGCAAGCAGAAGGUCAGGAGUUCGAUUCUCCUAUGCUCCA